UCAGCUAAACAAACAGUUGUAUAGAUAAUAGUUUCUCCAUCUCUAAUUGUAACAGCCCCACUAGCUUGCCUUCCUAUAAGACCUGUUUCAACGGUAAUAUGUCUAUCACCAACAGGAAUUCGAACAGAGAAAGGGGAAGGAGAACCUGGAACUCCUGCAGUAUCCUGAGCUAAAAGAGACAAGUCCUGAGGGUCAACUGAAGCUCUUACGGAGAAUUGCUUAAGACUUCGUCUUCGUUUUCGGCUUCUGUUCCUCCUGUUUUCCAAUGUUGAGGAAGCAAGAAACUGAUAGGUUGUGCUGUGAAGCUGUAGAGGGAAAGCGUAUGACCUGCAGAGUUCAUUGCGAACUGUUGGUAGGAAGUGUAGAGGUCGGCCAUGGAAGCUAGGGUUGGCGAACAUUGCUGCUUCGCCACAAAACUACAGGUGCAAAGUGAGACAGGG
rnacentral:misc_RNA from 1 species